rnacentral:tRNA from 1 species
AGAAAAGUAUUUAAAGUUAUAAAACCUAAUUUGCAAUUAGAAAUUGAAUUUUCCUUUUCUA